rnacentral:rRNA from 2 species
AUAACAAUACGGGACUCUAUUGAGGCCCCGUAAUUGGAAUGAGUACAAUUUAAAUCCUUUAACGAGGAUCUAUUGGAGGGCAAGUCUGGUGCCAGCAGCCGCGGUAAUUCCAGCUCCAA